rnacentral:lncRNA from 1 species
GUGAGCUCCCUGAAGACAGCGAUGGUUUGUUUCUUUUUUUAAAAGAUUACUUUAUUAAUAUAUAAUUUACAUACCAUACAACUCACACAUUUAAAGCAUAAAAUUCAAUUAUUUUUAUUAUCUUCACAGAUAUAGACAACCAUCACCACAGUCAAUUUUAGAACAUUUUCAUCACCUCAAGAAGAAGCCCCAUAUGCUUAGCUAUCACCCUUCUAUCCCCCACCCCAUCCCUAAGCAACCACUAAUCUAUUUUCUCUCUCCCUAGAUUUCCAUAUUCUGGACAUUCAUAUGAAUGGAAUCAUAUAGUAUUUCAUGCUUUAUGACUGGCUUCUUUUACUUAGCAUGUUUUCACGGUUCAUGUUUGAGCAUGUAUCAGUACUUCAUUCCUUCUACAGCCUAAUAACAUUCCAUAGUUUGGAUAUGCCACAUAUUGUUUAUUCAUUUGUCUGUUGGUGAUCCUCUGGGUCAUUUCCACCUCUUGGCUAGACUGAAUAAAUAUUGCUAUAAACAUCUGCAUAUACAGUCACUGCUUUUGAUUCAUCUGUGUGCCUCCAGGUCUAGCACAAAGAAGCAUGAACUUUUCUUCCACUGGUAUCAUCCCAGAAUGGAUCUCUGAAGGCAACAAAUGGUUAGUGGCUCACGGGCAGCCUCCAGGAUCUCAGGCACAAUUGCAAAGUACAUUUUUUCAUCCCCCUCCAGGGUUUGAGAAACAUCACAGAAUUUAAACACAGGAAACCAAUAUAAAAACCCUCUCAUGCAAAGAAACAGUGUGGCUGACUUUACAUUGUUUCUAUUCAUGGCUCCCUAGUUUUACAUUUUCUGAUCAGUUACUGCCACUGAGACCAAGAAACCAGUUUCUUCAAGAGCAUCCAUGGACUGUCUGAAGGCCUUGCAUUAUUGAUUUUCUGCUCAUAGAUUCCAGUUGCUCUGUCAAUCACGGGCCAGAAAUACAAGAUGGCAGUUAAUAAGCAAAAGGACUGAGCUCCCAUGAAGACAACAAAAUAAUUCAGGAGAUCUGACUGAAACAGAAAAUGCUAAAAUCCUCAAGAGAAAAGAAAUCAGGUAAGCCUUCCUGGAAAGAAAAGUCCACGGUCAAACAAAAAGACAUGUUAUCUUUGUAAGGAAGUAUAUUUCUGCCGAGUAUGUCUGGAAUUUGU